rnacentral:ncRNA from 1 species
UUUCAGGGCGGAGUGCAAUUCUCCACCGGUGGUAAAAGUCCACGAGCCUUUUGGCUGAUUCGGUGUGAUUCCGAAACCGACGGUAUAGUCCGGAUGAAAGAAA